rnacentral:rRNA from 1 species
GACGAACGCUGGCGGCGUGCCUAAUACAUGCAAGUGGGACGCAAGGGAACACACUGUGCUUGCACACCGUGUUUUCUUGAGUCGCGAACGGGUGAGUAACGCGUAGGUAACCUGCCUAUUAGCGGGGGAUAACUAUUGGAAACGAUAGCUAAUACCGCAUAAUAUUAAUUAUUGCAUGAUAAUUGAUUGAAAGAUGCAAGCGCAUCACUAGUAGAUGGACCUGCGUUGUAUUAGCUAGUUGGUAAGGUAAGAGCUUACCAAGGCGACGAUACAUAGCCGACCUGAGAGGGUGAUCGGCCACAUUGGGACUGAGACACGGCCCAGACUUCUACGGGAGGCAGCAGUAGGGAAUCUUCGGCAAUGGACGAAAGUCUGACCGAGCAACGCCGCGUGAGUGAAGAAGGUUUUCGGAUCGUAAAGCUCUGUUGUAAGUCAAGAACGUGUGUGAGAGUGG